rnacentral:rRNA from 1 species
UUUUGGACAAUGGGCGCAAGCCUGAUCCAGCAAUGCCGCGUGCAGGAAGAAGGCCUUCGGGUUGUAAACUGCUUUUGUACGGAACGAAACGGUCCUGGUUAAUACCUGGGGCUAAUGACGGUACCGUAAGAAUAAGCACCGGCUAACUACGUGCCAGCAGCCGCGGUAAUACGUAGGGUGCAAGCGUUAAUCGGAAUUACUGGGCGUAAAGCGUGCGCAGGCGGUUUUGUAAGGCAGGCGUGAAAUCCCCGGGCUUAACCUGGGAAUGGCGCUUGUGACUGCAAAGCUGGAGUGCGGCAGAGGGGGAUGGAAUUCCGCGUGUAGCAGUGAAAUGCGUAGAUAUGCGGAGGAACACCGAUGGCGAAGGCAAUCCCCUGGGCCUGCACUGGCGCUCAUGCACGAAG